GUGUCAGCCGCCGCGGUAAUACGUAGGUGGCAAGCGUUGUCCGGAUUUACUGGGCGUAAAGAGCGCGCAGGCGGUCGUUCAAGUCGCGUGUGAAAGCCCCCGGCUCAACUGGGGAGGGUCACGCGAUACUGAUCGACUCGAAGGCAGGAGAGGGUAGUGGAAUUCCCGGUGUAGUGGUGAAAUGCGUAGAUAUCGGGAGGAACACCAGUGGCGAAGGCGACUACCUGGCCUGUUCUUGACGCUGAGGCGCGAAAGCUAGGGGAGCAAACGGGAUUAGAUACCCCCGUAGUCC
rnacentral:rRNA from 1 species